ACUCGCAGGGCGAGGGAGGAAGCAAUGAUUUUUAAAUGGACCACCAGUGGCCGGAAAUUCAUCACUCGUUCAUCCCGAGAUGAUUGUGUUUUCAGCCACCGGUGACUUGCGCUACAUUCAAUUAUGAGUGGAUGUCUACCUAUAUGAAAUAUCUAAUUAUAAUAUACGCCUACUGUAUGAUAGCUAGCAAAUUAAUUAGCUAACUAACGUUAGCUUGCCUAGCUGGAACUUGUUUUAUGUGUUGUUUUAUUUCUACAAUUACCAAAAUAUAACAAAAAAUAAACACACAAAAAAAAUACUUUUUAUGUAGUAGGAAAAUGUCUAACUUAUUUGAUUUCGUUUUUACUUACACUUGUAUGUUGACUUCUUCAUUGAUGUUGUUUUAUGGGGAGUUUCAGGCCCGGAGUGAACGUAAUUGUACACUCUUAAAGCCAACUAAAAACGAGAGCUGAGGGGCUUAGGUUGCAAACUUCCCUUGCUUGGCUAGUCAUUUGGAUUCCCCAAGGGCAUAGGCGAGGGUAAGUGGACGAGGGUGUGUCUUUUAAGUUUUUGGACCGUAACCCGAAUCUCUGCUAUUCACUCUGUAUCAUCCGACAGAGAACAUGGGUUCACGCAUUACUUGGUUCCUACUUUAUAAAAGUUUUGACACAUGACAUUCAUAAGUAUGAGCUAAUGCCAUUUUAAUUCGUACUUUACUUAACAAUGUACUUGUAGAUUCUUAUGACUGAAGGUAAGUAUAGAUGACUAGUGAAGCUUGACUUUAAAUACAAAACAAUACGUUUAUUAUUGGACCGCAUGUUGAACCAGAGAGGAAGAGGCGAAGUGAGAAGGUUUACUACCAUCAAAAUCUGUCCAUGAUAAGAAGACUGAUAUACCAGGGGUAUUCAGCGUGGGGUCCGCAGAGGUACUGCAGGGGGUCUACACAAUGUUUUUAUUUAUUUAUGUUUUUAUGAAUAUCGCUAGCAAAAACAGAAUAAACAAACUUUGACAUACCUACAGUACAAAAGAGAAUACCUUCUUUCUAAUGAUGUCAACUUCAUUUCUCCCCCGCACCUGCUGUCUCGACGUCAGAACGCUCGGCUAUGAAAAGACAACUGACAUUUACUCCUGAGGAGGACCUGAGCCUUAGGACCAUGCUUCGGGACUACCUGCCCUGACGACUCCUGUCUGUCCACGUCCCCAGUCCACACGGUUGUGCUGCUGAUCCAGUUUCUACUUUUCUGCCCUGACCAGUUCAGCGGUCGUGCUACCUUGUCCCGGACCUGCUGUUUCGACCCUCUCUCUCUCCCCCGCACCUGCUGUCUCGACGUCGGAACGCUCGGCUAUGAAAAGACAACUGACAUUUACUCCUGAGGUGCUGAACUUUUUCACCCUCUAUAACCCUAGCUUGCCUUCCCGCCUUUGUGCUCCCGAGUGGCACAGCGGUCUAAGGCACUACAUCUCAGUGCUAGAGGUGUCACUACAGACCCUGGUUUGAUUCCAGGCUAUAUUACCACUGGCCGUGAUUGGGAGUCCCAUAGGGCAGCGCACAAUUGGCCCAGCGUCGUCCGGGUUAGGGUUUGGCCGGGGAGGUCGUCAUUGUAAAUAAGAAUUUGUUCUACUGACUUGCAUAGUUAUUAAAUAAAGGUUAAAUAUAAAAAAAUAA